UAGCUUUGUCCUAAAUUAAACUUGUCUAACUUUGACCAAAUUUAUAGAAAAAUAUAAUAACAUCUACAAUGCCAAAUAAAUUGGCUAUCAAAACAUAUUUCAUGGUGGAUUCAAUUAAACUUAUUUGAUGUUGUUAAUGUUAUUAUGUUUAUCUAUAAACCCGGUCAAAGUUAGACAAGUUUGACUUAGGACAAAACUAA
rnacentral:pre_miRNA from 1 species